CCUACGGGGGGCUGCAGUGAGGAAUAUUGGUCAAUGGGCGCAAGCCUGAACCAGCCAAGUCGCGUGAGGGAUGACGGUCCUAUGGAUUGUAAACCUCUUUUGUCGGGGAGUAAGGCACGCCACGUGUGGCGGGAAGGAGAGUACCCGAAGAAAAAGCAUCGGCUAACUCCGUGCCAGCAGCCGCGGUAAUACGGAGGAUGCGAGCGUUUUCCGGAUUUAUUGGGUUAAAAGGGUGCGUAGGCGGAAGGUUAAGUCAGCGGUAAAAUGUCGGUGCUCAACACCGGCCUGCCGUUGAAACUGGUCUUCUUGAGUGAGCGAGAAGUAUGCGGAAUGCGUGGUGUAGCGGUGAAAUGCAUAGAUAUCACGCAGAACUCCGAUUGCGAAGGCAGCAUACCGGCGCUCAACUGACGCUGAGGCACGAAAGCGUGGGGAUCGAACAGGAUUAGAUACCCCAGUAGUC
rnacentral:rRNA from 1 species